ensembl:lncRNA
GUUCCAGAGUCUCCUGGUUCCAGGUUCCAGAGUCUUCUGGUUCCAGGUUCCAGAGUCUCCGGGUUCCAGAGAUUCCUGGUUCCAGGUUCCAGAGUCUCCUGGUUCCAGGUUCCAGAGUCUCCGGGUUCCAGAGUCUCCUGGUUCCAAGUUCUAGAGUCUCCGGGUUCCAGAGUCUCCUGCGUCCAGGUCCCAGGUUCUCCUGGUUCCAGGUUCCAGAGUCUCCUGGUUCCAGGUUCCAGGUUCUCCUGGUUCCAGGUUCCAGAGUCUCCGGGUUCCAGAGUCUCCUGGUUCCAGGUUCCAGGUUCCAGAGUCUCCUGGUUCCAGGUUCCAGAGUCUCCGGGUUCCAGAGUCUCCUGGUUCCAGGUUCCAGAGUCUCCUGGUUCCAGGUUCCAGGUUCUCCUGGUUCCAGGUUCCAGAGUCUCCUGGUUCCAGGUUCCAGAGUCUCCGGGUUCCAGAGUCUCCUGGUUCCAGGUCCCAGGUUUUCCUGGUUCCAGGUUCCAGAGUCUCCGGGUUCCAGGUUCUAGAGUCUCCUGGUUCCAGGUUCCAGAGUCUCCGGGUUCCAGGUCCCAGGUUCUCCUGGUUCCAGGUUCCAGAGUCUCCUGGUUCCAGGUUCCAGAGUCUCCGGGUUCCAGAGUCUCCUGGUUCCAGGUUCUAGAGUCUCCGGGUUCCAGAGUCUCCUGGUUCCAGGUCCCAUGUUCUCCUGGUUCCAGGUUCCAGAGUCUCUUGGUUCCAGGUUCCAGAGUCUCCGGGUUCCAGAGUCUCCUGGUUCCAGGUUCCAGAGUCUCCUGGUUCCAGGUUCCAGGUUCCAGGUUCUCCUGGUUCCAGGUUCCAGAGUCUCCUGGUUCCAGGUUCCAGAGUCUCCGGGUUCCAGAGUCUCCUGGUUCCAGGUUCCAGAGUCUCCGGGUUCCAGGUUCUAGAGUCUCCUGGUUCCAGGUUCCAGAGUCUCCUGGUUCCAGGUUCCAGAGUCUCCGGGUUCCAGAGUCUCCUGGUUCCAGGUCCCAGGUUCUCCUGGUUCCAGGUUCCAGGGUCUCCGGGUUCCAGGUUCUAGAGUCUCCUGGUUCCAGGUUCCAGAGUCUCCGGGUUCCAGGUCCCAGGUUCUCCUGGUUCCAGGUUCCAGAGUCUCCUGGUUCCAGGUUCCAGAGUCUCCGGGUUCCAGAGUCUCCUGGUUCCAAGUUCUAG